rnacentral:rRNA from 1 species
UACGUAGGUGGCAAGCGUUGUCCGGAAUUACUUGGUGUAAAGCGCGUGUAGGCGGGAGGCCAAGUCUGCUGUGAAAUCGCUCGGCUCAACUGGGCGGGGUCGGUGGAAACUGGUCACCUGGAGGACGGUAGAGGCGAGUGGAAUUCCCGGUGUAGUGGUGAAAUGCGUAGAGAUCGGGAGGAACACCAGUGGCGAAGGCGGCUCGCUGGGCCGGUCCUGACGCUGAGACGCGAAGGCGUGGGGAGCGAACAGG